rnacentral:miRNA from 14 species
CCGCGCAUCCCUUUGUUCCAAUA